CGUUCAGGCGGUUUGGCAAGUCGGGCAUGAAAUCCUUCGGCUCAACCGGGGGAGGUUGUCCGAUACUGCUGAACUGGAGGGCAGUAGAGGGUGGUGGAAUUCCGGGUGUAGUGGUGAAAUGCGUAGAGAUCCGGAGGAACACCAGUGGCGAAAGCGGCCACCUGGACUGUACCUGACGCUGAAACGCGAAAGCUAGGGGAGCGAACGGGAUUAGAAACCCCGGUAGUCCUAGCUAUAAACGAUGUUGACUAGGUGUGGACGGUCUAAACCCCGCCCGUGCCGGAGCAAACGCAUUAAGUCAACCGCCUGGGGACUACGGCCGCAAGGUUAAA
rnacentral:rRNA from 1 species